rnacentral:rRNA from 1 species
AUUGAACGCUGGCGGCAUGCCUUACACAUGCAAGUCGAACGGCAGCAUGAUCUAGCUUGCUAGAUUGAUGGCGAGUGGCGAACGGGUGAGUAAUACAUCGGAACGUGCCCUGUAGUGGGGGAUAACUAGUCGAAAGAUUAGCUAAUACCGCAUACGACCUGAGGGUGAAAGUGGGGGACCGCAAGGCCUCAUGCUAUAGGAGCGGCCGAUGUCUGAUUAGCUAGUUGGUGAGGUAAAGGCUCACCAAGGCGACGAUCAGUAGCUGGUCUGAGAGGACGAUCAGCCAAAUGGGGACUGGGAGACGGCGCGGACACCUACGGGCAGCAGCAGUGGGGGAUUUUGGAAAGUGGGCGAAAGCCGGAGCCAGCAAUGACGCGUGUGUGAAGAAGGCGUUUGGGUUGUAAAGCAGUUGUGGCCGGAAAAAAAUGGAGCAGGUUAAAACCUGGGGUCGGUGACGGUACUGGAAGAAUAAGGACCGGCUAACUACGUC